CUCGAAUCACAGAGAAGCACAGCAGCCACAACCUGAUGGGACUCUGAUGGCUAACGAGGCCACAUCUAAUUCUCCACGGGUCUCCAGGCCCAAGGACUAGCCCCAAAGGCUUAUGUGGAGGAACUCUAAGCGCACAACAGUUUAAUGUGCACAAGUUACCUGUUCCCUUAUAUUUUGGUUUAUAUGUUCUUAUUCUUAUUUUAGACACAUUAUAUUAGGCUGCAGAGAGACCAAAAC